rfam:Candidatus Curtissbacteria bacterium RIFCSPLOWO2_01_FTLL_42_26 rifcsplowo2_01_scaffold_3452, whole genome shotgun sequence.
GGCCCGCUAGCUCAAUGGUAGAGCAAUUGCCUCUUAAGCAAUUGGUUACAGGUUCGAAUCCUGUGCGGGUCA